GAGUUUGAUCCUGGCUCAGGAUGAACGCUAGCGGUAUGCUUAACACAUGCAAUCGUACGGAAAAGAAAUUUUUAGUGGCGGACGGGUGAGUAACGCGUGAGAAUUUGCCUUAGGAAGAGGAUAACAUUUAGAAAUAAUUGCUAAAACUCUAUAUGCCGUUUGGUGAAAAAGUAAUUUGCCUAAAGAGAAGCUCGCGUCUGAUUAGCUAGUUGGUGGGGUAAAGGCCUACAAGGCGACGAUCAGUAGCUGGUCUGAGAGGAUGAUCAGCCACACUGGAACUGAGACACGUCCAGACUCCUACGGGAGGCAGCAGUGAGGAAUUUUCUGCAAUGGGCGAAAGCCUGACAAGCAAUACCGCGUGAGGGAUGAAGGCCUACGGGUUGUAAACCUCUUUUCUCAAGGAGGAGAUCUGACGUUACUUGAGGAAUAAGCAUCGGCUAACCCUGUGCCAGCAGCCGCGGUAAU
rnacentral:rRNA from 1 species